CCCUUAGAUGUUCUGGGCCGCACGCGCGCUACACUGAUUCAUGCACUAAGUAUAUAACCUUGGUAGAAAUGCUUGGGUAAUCUUCGAAACUGAAUCGUGCUGGGGAUUGGAGCUUGUAAUUAUUCUCCAUGAACGAGGAAUUCCUAGUAAACGCGAGUCAUCAGCUCGCAUUGAUUACGUCCCUGCCCUUUGUACACACCGCCCGUCGCACCUACCGAUUGAAUGGUCCGGUGAAAUCUUCGGACCGCGCAACGCCGCAAGGUGAUGCGUGGAAAGUUGCUUAAACCUUACCAUUUAGAGGAAGGUGAGGUCGUAACA
rnacentral:rRNA from 1 species